rnacentral:lncRNA from 1 species
UUCUGUAAUUAAUCGCGUAUUUUAACCGUUAUAAUGCAUAACCAGUGCGAAUUUUUGUCGGGAGUGUCGAUUAAAGUAAUGAGCAAUUGUCAGAAUAUAUUCUUAUUGUCGCGGAUGUUCGUGAUUAACGUCGAUGACUGCAUUGUACGUUACGGCUGGCAGUCAAGGUGUCUGUUUAUAUCUAACGAUCUCCGUGUGACUGCCAAGGUUAUCAUUGCUCUCGCUCUCUCCUCGGAUGUUUACAGUGCCGAAUCGACUACCUAAUGUGUAAGGUGAUAAUAAUCGCUACAAUUAUCCAUGCAGACGCAUUGCGGCAUAAAGUUUAUUUUAUUUCGCGUUUGUCUUUCAUACGGUGUGAAAAAUUCGUUACAUGACUCCGUCCUGAUUUUAUCGGCUACACUUAUACAGGCAACCAGGAUUGCCAUCUUAUGUGAAGAUGCAUCAAUUUUAAACUUUGAGUUAUUAAAAAUUGGAGCAACUUCAUAUGGGAAACCAUUUUGUUUGCCGGUGUAUAAUGCCGAGUCAUUGUCGAACGUAUAAGAUGGGAAUUUUUGUCAGGAGUGUCGAUUAAAAUAAUGAGCAAUUGUCAAAAUAUAUUCUUAUUCCUAUUCUUUGCCGCGAAUGUUCGCGAUUAACGUUGAUGACUGCAUUGUACGUUACGGCCGGCAGUCAAUGCAUGUCAUGAAAGUACGGAUUUCCUGAAUUCGACGAUUCUUUGAUGGAGCUGAUGCGGAACAAUUCAAGAAAGGAAUCUGCAGCGGAUAGAGUAAACAACAAUAUCCUAGCUAGUAUAGUCGAGGAACAUACUUAGCUAGGGUACAACGACCG